AUGCCCGUCCGCCCGCCGCCGCCCAUUCAUCCCCUUUCCCCAAUCUUUCACUUCUCCCGCGACCUAGCGCAAAUGUCUACCUCCUCCGCCACGCAAUCAAAAUGGCGACAGUAUGGACCAGUGCUGCUAACAAGGUGCCCUGAAUGCACACGCCCAGACCCUCUUAAACGGUUGGUCACUAAAAGGGAUGACAAUGGCAAUCUUGGGCGGGAAUUUGUGAAAUGCUUGAGCAAACCAAUGGCAGGAAGGGGUGGCAAGAUCUUGAAGAAAUGUUACCAUUUGGAGUGGAUUGAUGAAUAUGUUGAUAAGAUUCAGUUUGAGGGCUAUGUUGAUUCGAGCGUGGCCGCAACCUGGGAGCUCAAUUUGGGCGGGGUGCCGCCGAUUGCUGUGGAGAAUACGGGGAGCUCGGGCGGAGGGGCGGGUAGAUUCGUGCCGAUGGCGAUGUAUGCGCGCAAUGCUGAACUGCAUGCGGAGUCCGAACUGACCGAGGAACUGAAGAAGAUCAAGAAACAUCUAAUGCAGAUGAUCGAUUUGCAGAAGCAAGCAAAUAUCAUGGCAGGGGGGUUCUAUUGUUGUAUCAUUGCUCUGUUUUUGUUUUAUUUGUUGUUCAUCCGUCAUUAG
rnacentral:rRNA from 1 species